ensembl:lncRNA
AUUUAGGUCCCGUGUGGCUCAGUUGGUAGAGCAUGGCGGUUCCCACAGGAGACCAGUCCGAAAAAGUAGGAAAAAUGUAUGCUACUGUAAAUCGCUCUGGAGAAAGAGCGGCUGCUAAAUGACAACCAACAACAAAAUGUACCAAGAGAAAGACGAACUACUUUUUUUGUCAAUCAAAUAAUAGUUACAGUAAGUCAAUCGCAAUUGAAAGAAGUAACUUCUCAACGGCAAGUGCACUUACUUCGUUUCCAGAGCGAGGUGGAAUUCCAACCAGGCAAAAGACCUAUUUAAUCCAGGCUGAAUCACAUCCGGCCGUGAUUGGGAGUCCCAUAGUGUGGCGCACAAUUGGCACAGCGUCGUCCGGGAGCGCUGUGCUAGGCAUCUGUGGGAGAAUCAUCACGCCCUGAGCAAGAGUGUGUGUGCUGCACGUGGUCGCUGGAGCGAGACACACUCCAAUGCUGAUGUUAGCCGACAUUCCCCUCAGGCCAGAGAAUGGAGCAUGCGUG